rnacentral:lncRNA from 1 species
CAUAGCUGCGCCUGCGCGAGUGAAGCAUCUCGGGAGGACGUGACGUCAACCACGAUUCGAAUCAAUACAGGAAGAGAGGGAUCACGCGUUGCCAGAGGUACCUGGGAUCCUCUUGGGACUUUAAAGAGGAGCACAGCAGAGGCUGUGGGUGCGGCUCAGUGGUGAACUCCUGCCUGGUUUUUCAAGACCCUGGGAUCCAUGCCCAGCACCACAAACAACAACCAAAAAGCAAAAACAACAGCAACAAAAACAAAAAAUAUAUAGUUUACUAUCGUAACAUUUGUUUUAAUUUAAUAUCAGUACUAUCAAGC